rnacentral:rRNA from 1 species
ACGCUAGCGGCAGGCCUAAUACAUGCAAGUCGGACGGGAUUCAGGGAGUAGCUUGCUACAAGCUGAUGAGAGUGGCGCACGGGUGCGUAACGCGUGAGCAACCUACCCAUAUCAGGGGGAUAGCCUCUCGAAAGAGAGAUUAACACCGCAUAACAUCAUUUACCGGCAUCGGUUAAUGAUCAAAUAUUUAUAGGAUAUGGAUGGGCUCGCGUGACAUUAGCUAGUUGGAGGGGUAACGGCCCACCAAGGCUACGAUGUCUAGGGGCUCUGAGAGGAGAAUCCCCCACACUGGUACUGAGACACGGACCAGACUCCUACGGGAGGCAGCAGUAAGGAAUAUUGGUCAAUGGAGGGAACUCUGAACCAGCCAUGCCGCGUGCAGGAUGACUGCCCUAUGGGUUGUAAACUGCUUUUGUCAGGGAAUAAACCUUUCUACGUGUAGGAAGCUGAAUGUACCCGAAGAAUAAGGAUCGGCUAACUCCGUGCCAGCAGCCGCGGUAAUACAGAGGGUGCAAGCGUUAAUCGGAAUUACUGGGCGUAAAGCGCGCGUAGGUGGUUUGUUAAGUUGGAUGUGAAAUCCCCGGGCUCAACCUGGGAACUGCAUUCAAAACUGACUGACUAGAGUAUGGUAGAGGGUGGUGGAAUUUCCUGUGUAGCGGUGAAAUGCGUAGAUAUAGGAAGGAACACCAGUGGCGAAGGCGACCACCUGGACUAAUACUGACACUGAGGUGCGAAAGCGUGGGAGCAAAC